GACGAACGCUGGCGGCGUGCUUAACACAUGCAGGUCGAACGGAAAGGCCCUGCUUGCAGGGUACUCGAGUGGCGAACGGGUGAGUAACACGUGGGUGAUCUGCCCUGCACUUCGGGAUAAGCCUGGGAAACUGGGUCUAAUACCGGAUAGGAGCCAUUUUUAGUGUGAUGGUUGGAAAGUUUUUUCGGUGUAGGAUGAGCUCGCGGCCUAUCAGCUUGUUGGUGGGGUAAUGGCCUACCAAGGCGGCGACGGGUAGCCGGCCUGAGAGGGUGGACGGCCACAUUGGGACUGAGAUACGGCCCAGACUCCUACGGGAGGCAUCAGUGGGGAAUAUUGCACAAUGGGCGCAAGCCUGAUGCAGCGACGCCGCGUGGGGGAUGACGGCCUUCGGGUUGUAACCUCCUUUCGCUAGGGACGAAGCUUUUUGUGACGGUACCUAGAUAAGAAGCACCGGCUAACUACGUG
rnacentral:rRNA from 1 species